UACGUAGGGUGCGAGCGUUAAUCGGAAUUACUGGGCGUAAAGCGUGCGCAGGCGGUUCGUUAAGUCAGAUGUGAAAGCCCCGGGCUCAACCUGGGAACUGCAUUGGAAACUAACGGGCUCGAGUGUGGCAGAGGGGGGUGGAAUUCCACGUGUAGCAGUGAAAUGCGUAGAGAUGUGGAGGAACACCGAUGGCGAAGGCAGCCCCCUGGGCUAACACUGACGCUCAGGCACGAAAGCGUGGGGAGCAAACAGG
rnacentral:rRNA from 1 species